rnacentral:rRNA from 1 species
GACGAACGCUGGCGGCGUGCCUAAUACAUGCAAGUUGAGCGCUGAAGGUUGGUACUUGUACCGACUGGAUGAGCAGCGAACGGGUGAGUAACGCGUGGGGAAUCUGCCUUUGAGCGGGGGACAACAUUUGGAAACGAAUGCUAAUACCGCAUAAAAACUUUAAACACAAGUUUUAAGUUUGAAAGAUGCAAUUGCAUCACUCAAAGAUGAUCCCGCGUUGUAUUAGCUAGUUGGUGAGGUAAAGGCUCACCAAGGCGAUGAUACAUAGCCGACCUGAGAGGGUGAUCGGCCACAUUGGGACUGAGACACGGCCCAAACUCCUACGGGAGGCAGCAGUAGGGAAUCUUCGGCAAUGGACGAAAGUCUGACCGAGCAACGCCGCGUGAGUGAAGAAGGUUUUCGGAUCGUAAAACUCUGUUGGUAGAGAAGAACGUUGGUGAGAGUGGAAAGCUCAUCAAGCGACGGUAACUACCCAGAAAGGGACGGCUAACUACGUG